AGUCGGUGCUCUGCAAGCAAUUCCGAAUUUCAAAGGUUUUUGAGGUUGGUAAACUUUCAGAGGCUGAAGCGCGAAGCUUGGAAGAGCUUCGGGAUUAAACCCUAGCUCGAUUUAGUUUCUUCAAAACAACAAGUUGAAUGGUAGCCCUCCUGAAAAUAAAAGCUCGUCCCUUCUCAAUGUGGAAUUCUAGUUUCGAAGGAUUUUGAUAUACGAAAGGAGGCAGGUGGGAAAUCUUUGCAAGCCGUUCAGAAGGAAUACAAGGCCCUAGCUCACACAACUACCUUGAAAUUAAUCUCUUUUGGGCUGGAAAGGGGACUUGCUGCGUACCUGAGAUUUCCCACCUACUAUCGUUCCGAACCAUCCAACUAGUAGGAAGAAUAGGACGGGGCUGAUUGUGGGGAUUGUUGUUGGUGGUGGAGUACUUUUGAUUCUAUUGUUGUUGGUUUUCUGUAUUUUUCAAAGAAGAAAAAAGGAUUAACACCAGUAAAAAUGAAGGAUCCAAAGGAAUGGCCUAUUAUUGAGCCAUUGCCUUCUUAUGGAAGAGGGAGAGAGAGGUUAGGAGGAAGGCACAUAAGCCUCAUUCAUGGGGAUGGUCUCACAGAUGUUGUCAUUACAGAUUAACCUGCUAAGUACAUUAUGUAUUCAAAUGGUUUUUGAUUUGGUCGACCCACAAAUAGAAGUCCUGAAACACUGCCAAGUGUUAAAUAAGGUACUCGAUAAGAAUGGGGCUGCUCCAGCUAGAAGUGUUUUGUCGUGGAUUCUAAUUUAAAUUUGAAAGUAUGCUUAGUAGCAGCUGUGGUUGAUAAUCUGGCCAUUUUUUUGACUUCUAAUGAAGGUGCUGCAGUGUUGGCAUGGGUUGCUUUGGCUCAUCUUUGUUUUUAAACAAUCUUUGGCUGGUCUUAGAAUUGUGAUUGUUGGUUGGUUAUAGAUGAUGGGUUUCAUAAUAUUUUUCAAUUUAUGAUAUUUGGUGGAUUAUACUA